rnacentral:lncRNA from 1 species
AUGAACCACCCACAUAGGCCUCCCAAAGUGCUGGGAUUACAGCCUGCCAACUUUCAAACUAGAACUUCCACCAUCAUCCCUCCUGGUCCUCAGGCCUUCAGUCUCCAGCAGCAGCUAUACUAUCAGCUCUCCUGGGUCUCCAGCUUGCUGCCUGCAGAUCUUGGGGCUUCUCAGCCUCCAUCAUCACAUAAAUCAAUUUCUUCUAAUAAAACUUUUUCUGGCAUCUAUAAAUCUCCUGUUGGUUCUUUUUCUCUGGAGAAGCCUAAUACAGUGGGGACAUGGAUCAUCCCAGAGAGAACGUAGGAGUGAAGCAGGGAGCCCCAUCCUAGCAGCUGGAUCCUAGGGUCCUCCCAGAGUCUUUUCUGAAGAAGUUCCAAGUCCUACCUAAAAUCUCAAAUAAUGGCAACAGAGCCCGGUAAUGUGUUCUGGAUCCAUAGAGGAAGAGGUGUGGCUGGGUGACUUUCC